UUAACUAAUUUGCAAAUUAAUUUAAUUAAUUAAUAUUAAUAUGGAAUUAAGUGGAUUUAAUUAAAUUUUUAUAUUUUAGGUGAAAUUUAAUUUAUAAAUAUAUUAAAUUUAAUAUAUAUAAAUAUAAUAAGAUGAAUUAAUAAACUAGGAUUAGAUACCCUAUUAUAUAAAAUAAUUAUAUUUUAAUUUAUAAAUAAAUGUUGAAUCAUUAAAAUUAAAUUAUAUGGCGGCUUUUCAUUCUUAUUAGAGAAAUUUGUAAUUUAAUUUGAUAAUCCACGAUAAGAUUUACUUAAAUAAAAAAUUUAUAUAUUGUUGUAUAUUUUAAAAUAAAAUUUAUUAUUAAGAAUAUUUUAUAAAAUAAUAAUUCAAAUCAAAAUGUAGUGUAUUUAAGAAUUUAUGAGUUAUAAUAAAUUAAAUUUUUGGAUAUUUAAAUUUUAAUAUUAAUUUGAAAGAGGAUUUAAUAGUAAAUUUAAUAAAAUUAAUUAAAUUGAAAUUAGUUCUGAAAAGUGUACAAAUUGCCCGUCAGUUUCAUUUAUGGAAUAAGUCGUAACAUAGUAAAAAUAUUGGAAAAUGUUUUUAGAAU
rnacentral:rRNA from 1 species